AUUUCUUAGCAAACUGGUUUGUGAUAUGGUAAAUAAAGGCAAUAAACUAAGUAAUGCCGUCAAUAAAAAUCAAUCGAAAACUAUGUGCCCAACCGCUCAGUUAGCUAGUAGUACUCUUUUGGACAUCGUCAGAACAACAAACACAUAAUAUCACUUUCAAAGGCAUGCAACAACCCUAAACACCGAAAUAACAAGAACGGCGAGAUAAACAUAUGUAUGUACAUAUCAAUAAAUGCUAACGACGAGUAGCCAUCUGGCGAACUAAGUAAGAAAAGGACGGAGAAGAUUAAAGCAACGACGAGUGACCAUCUGGCGAAAAAAAUACAAAAAAAAGACGGAAAAGACUAAGACGAAGGCGAGAAGAUCGGCGUAAGAAGUAGAAAACGACGAGAGAAGCAACGAGGACAAGGAGCAAAGGAGAGUAUUCGAGAAGAUCUGGCGGAGAGAAGACGUGCUCAAGCGGAGCACGUUUACAUAAUAUCAACGUAAGCAGAUCACUGCAAGUAAUAAAAGCCAAAUGAACAGCAAAAAGCCGAAGUGGGGUGAUAGCCACAGUUCCUGGAAAGGAAAUGCAUUGGAAUCAGUUUUUGUUGGUCUCGAAAUAUAAUUUUUUGGCCCCUAUCCUUGUCGGAAUUUUAAGAACAGCAUUUGACUUCUUUUUCAAGCGCAAAAAAGUUGAGAAGCAAUUAUUGAAACUUUCUUCAAAUGUGAUCCAAUACUUAAUAUUAAAAUGCUUUAAAAAUAUUAUAAAAAAAUAAUCAAAUCUGUAUAUAAUAACAGAUUAGAAAAACUAUGCUUAAAUAACUAAGUGAUUAAACAAUCAUAAUAAUUAAAACUAA